UGCAAGUCGAACGGAAAUCUUUUAGAUUUAGUGGCGAACGGGUGAGUAACACGUAAGCAACCUGCCUUUAAGACGAGAAUAACAAUUGGAAACAGUUGCUAAGGCUGGAUAGGAAAUAAAAAGGCAUCUUUUUAUUUUUAAAAGACCUUUUUCGGAAGGUAUGCUUAAAGAGGGGCUUGCGUCACAUUAGUUAGUUGGUAGGGUAAAGGCCUACCAAGACGAUGAUGUGUAGCUGGACUGAGAGGUUGAACAGCCACAUUGGGACUGAGACACGGCCCAAACUCCUACGGGAGGCAGCAGUAGGGAAUUUUCGGCAAUGGAGGAAACUCUGACCGAGCAACGCCGCGUGAACGACGAAGUACUUCGGUAUGUAAAGUUCUUUUAUUGGAGAAGAAACAAUAGUGGAAAAACUAUCUUGACGUUAUUCAAUGAAUAAGCCCCGGCUAACUAUGUGCCAGCAGCCGCGGUAAUACAUAGGGGGCGAGCGUUAUCCGGAAUUAUUGGGCGUAAAGGGUGCGUAGGCGGUUUAAUAAGUCUCUAGUUUAAUUUCAACGCUUAACGUUGUCCUGCUAGAGAAACUGUUUAACUAGCGUGAGAUAGAGGUAGCGGAAUUCCAUGUGUAGCGGUAAAAUGUGUAAAUAUAUGGAGGAACACCAGAGGCGUAGGCGGCUUACUGGGUCUUUACUGACGCUGAUGCACGAAAGCGUGGGGAGCAAACAGGAUAGAUACCCUGGUAGUCCACGCCGUAAACUAUGAGUACUAAGUGUCGGGGUUAAACUCGGUACUGAAGUUAACACAUUAAGCACUCCGCCUGAGUAGUACGUACGCAAGUAUGAAACUUAAAGGAAUUGACGGGAUCCCGCACAAGCGGUGGAUCAUGUUGUUUAAUUCGAAGAUACACGAAAAACCUCACCAGGUCUUGACAUACUCUGCAAAGCUAUAGAAAUAUAGUGGAGGUUAUCUGGGAUACAGGUGGUGCAUGGUUGUCGUCAGCUCGUGUCGUGAGAUGUUAGGUUAAGUUCUAAAACGAGCGCAACCCCUGUCGUUAAUUGCCAGCACGUUAUGGUGGGGACUUUAGCGAGACUGCCAAUGAAAAAUUGGAGGAAGGUGGGGAUUACGUCAAAUCAUCAUGCCCCUUAUGAUCUGGGCUACAAACGUGAUACAAUGGCUAUUACAAAGAGUAGCUGAAACGCGAGUUUUCGGCAAAUCUCAAAAAAAUAGCCUCAGUUCGGAUUGAAGUCUGCAACUCGACUUCAUGAAGUUGGAAUCGCUAGUAAUCGCGAAUCAGCAUGUCGCGGUGAAUACGUUCUCGGGGUUUGUACACACCGCCCGUCAAACCACGAAAGUGGACAAUACCCGAAAGCGACAGCCUAACUGCGUAAGCA
rnacentral:rRNA from 1 species